rnacentral:rRNA from 1 species
GACGAACGCUGGCGGCGUGCUUAACACAUGCAAGUCGAGCGAGAGAAAUUCCUUCGGGAAGGACUCUAGCGGCGGACGGGUGAGCAACACGUGGGUAACCUGCCUCAUAGAGGGGAAUAGCCUUUCGAAAGGAAGAUUAAUACCGCAUAAGAUUGUAGUAUCGCAUGAUGCAGCAAUUAAAGGAGUGACCCGCUAUGAGAUGGACCCGCGUCGCAUUAGCUAGUUGGUGAGGUAACGGCUCACCAAGGCGACGAUGCGUAGCCGACCUGAGAGGGUGAUCGGCCACAUUGGGACUGAGACACGGCCCAGACUCCUACGGGAGGCAGCAGUGGGGAAUAUUGCACAAUGGGGGAAACCCUGAUGCAGCAACGCCGCGUGAGUGAUGACGGUCUUCGGAUUGUAAAACUCUGUCUUCAGGGACGAUAAUGACGGUACCUGAGGAGGAAGCCACGGCUAACUACGUGCCAGCAGCCGCCGUAA